AGUGAACGCUGGCGGUAGGCCUAACACAUGCAAGUCGACCGGCAGCACAGUAAGAGCUUGCUCUUACGGGUGGCGAGUGGCGGACGGGUGAGGAAUACAUCGGAAUCUACUUUUUCGUGGGGGAUAACGUAGGGAAACUUACGCUAAUACCGCAUACGACCUACGGGUGAAAGCAGGGGAUCUUCGGACCUUGCGCGAUUGAAUGAGCCGAUGUCGGAUUAGCUCGUUGGCGGGGUAAAGGCCCACCAAGGCGACGAUCCGUAGCUGGUCGGAGAGGAUGAGCAGCCACACUGGAACUGAGACACGGUCCAGACUCCUACGGGAGGCAGCAGUGGGGAAUAUUGGACAAUGGGCGCAAGCCUGAUCCAGCCAUACCGCGUGGGUGAAGAAGGCCUUCGGGUUGUAAAGCCCUUUUGUUGGGAAAGAAAAGCAGCAGGUUAAUACCCCGCUGUUCUGACGGUACCCAAAGAAUAAGCACCGGCUAACUUCGUG
rnacentral:rRNA from 1 species